rnacentral:rRNA from 1 species
CCCCAGACUCCUACGGGAGGCAGCAGUGGGGAAUAUUGCACAAUGGGGGAAACCCUGAUGCAGCGACGCCGCGUGAGCGAUGAAGUAUUUCGGUAUGUAAAGCUCUAUCAGCAGGGAAGAAGAUGACGGUACCUGACUAAGAAGCCCCGGCUAACUACGUGCCAGCAGCCGCGGUAAUACGUAGGGGGCAAGCGUUAUCCGGAUUUACUGGGUGUAAAGGGAGCGUAGACGGCGAUGCAAGCCAGAUGUGAAAGCCCGGGGCUCAACCCCGGGACUGCAUUUGGAACUGUGUGGCUGGAGUGUCGGAGAGGCAGGCGGAAUUCCUAGUGUAGCGGUGAAAUGCGUAGAUAUUAGGAGGAACACCAGUGGCGAAGGCGGCCUGCUGGACGAUGACUGACGUUGAGGCUCGAAAGCGUGGGGAGCAAACAGGAUUAGAUACCCGAGUAUUA